rnacentral:pre_miRNA from 1 species
CCUGCAUUGUACACACUGUGUGUUUUCAUUCCCAUGCACAGCGCAUACAAUGUGGAU